GGGGUUGUGGCUCAGUGGCAGAGUGCUUGCCUAGCAUGUAUGAGGCACUGGGUUCGAUUCUCAGCACCACA
rnacentral:tRNA from 1 species